rnacentral:rRNA from 1 species
GACGAACGCUGGCGGCGUGCCUAAUACAUGCAAGUUGAGCGCUGAAGGUUGGUCCUUGUACCAACUGGAUGAGCAGCGAACGGGUGAGUAACGCGUGGGGAAUCUGCCUUUGAGCGGGGGACAACAUUUGGAAACGAAUGCUAAUACCGCAUAAAAACUUUAAACACAAGUUUUAAGUUUGAAAGAUGCAAUUGCAUCACUCAAAGAUGAUCCCGCGUUGUAUUAGCUAGUUGGUGAGGUAAAGGCUCACCAAGGCGAUGAUACAUAGCCGACCUGAGAGGGUGAUCGGCCACAUUGGGACUGAGACACGGCCCAAACGCCUACGGGAGGCAGCAGUAGGGAAUCUUCGGCAAUGGACGAAAGUCUGACCGAGCAACGCCGCGUGAGUGAAGAAGGGUUUCGGAUCGUAAAACUCUGUUGGUAGAGAAGAACGUUGGUGAGAGUGGAAAGCUCAUCAAGUGACGGUAACUACCCAGAAAGGGACGGCUAACUACGUG